rnacentral:snRNA from 1 species
ACACUCUGGUUUACCUUCAGAUCAUAUAAAUCUUUCACCUUUUACUAAACAUUUCCAUGAAGAUGAGCAACUCUGAGUCUUAAACCAAUAUUUUGAGGCCUUGCUUCAGCAAGGCU